rnacentral:rRNA from 1 species
UACGUAGGAGGCGAGCGUUGUCCGGAAUUACUGGGCGUAAAGCGUGCGCAGGCGGUUAUGCAAGACAGAUGUGAAAUCCCCGGGCUCAACCUGGGAACUGCAUUUGUGACUGCAUGGCUAGAGUACGGUAGAGGGGGAUGGAAUUCCGCGUGUAGCAGUGAAAUGCGUAGAUAUGCGGAGGAACACCGAUGGCGAAGGCAAUCCCCUGGACCUGUACUGACGCUCAUGCACGAAAGCGUGGGGAGCAAACAGG